rnacentral:rRNA from 1 species
AUUGAACGCUGGCGGCAGGCCUAACACAUGCAAGUCGAACGAGUGGCGGACGGGUGAGUAAUGUCUGGGAAACUGCCUGAUGGAGGGGGAUAACUACUGGAAACGGUAGCUAAUACCGCAUACCAUCGGAUGUGCCCAGAUGGGAUUAGCUAGUAGGUGGGGUAAAGGCUCACCUAGGCGACGAUCCCUAGCUGGUCUGAGAGGAUGACCAGCCACACUGGAACUGAGAAACGGGCCCGACUCCUACGUGAGGCAGCAGGGGGGAAUAUUGCACAAUGGGCGCAAGCCUGAUGCAGCCAUGGCGCGGGUAUGAAGAAGGCCUUCGGGGGGUAAAGUACUUUCAGCGGGGAGGCGUUACCCGCAGAAGAAGCACCGGCUAACUCCGUGCCAGCAGCCGAGGUAAUUC